GAUGAACGCUGGCGGCGUGCCUAAUACAUGCAAGUCGAGCGAACGGACGAGAAGCUUGCUUCUCUGAUGUUAGCGGCGGACGGGUGAGUAACGCGUGGAUACCCUACCUAUAAGACUGGGAUAACUUCGGGAAACCGGAGCUAAUACCGUAUAAUAUUUUGAACCGCAUGGUUCAAUAGUGAAAGACGGCCUUGCUGUCACUUAUAGAUGGAUCCGCGCUGCAUUAGCUAGUUGUUAAGGUAACGGCUUACCAAGGCAACGAUGCAUAGCCGAACUGAGAGGGGGAUAGGCCACACGGGAGGUGAGACAGGCUCCAGAGGCCUACGGGAGGCAGCAGUAGGGAAUGUGCCGCAAUGGGCGAAAGCCUGACGGAGCAGCGCCGCGUGAGUGAUGAAGGUCUUCGGAUCGUAAAACUCUGUUACUAGUUAAGAACAUAUGUGUAAGUAACUGUGCACAUCUUGACGGUACCGAAUCAGAAAGCCACGGCUAACUACGUG
rnacentral:rRNA from 1 species